rnacentral:rRNA from 1 species
UUAAGACAUACUCAUUUACCGGUCAAUACGAACAACUGUUUAAAAUCCAAAGAAUUUGGCGGUGUCUCAUGUCUAUCAGGGGAACCUGUUACUUAAUUCGAUAAUCCACGAAACUCAAUCCAUAUUUUGAACUAUCAGCCUGUGUACUGCUGUCGUCAGUAAACCUCUAAAAGAUAGUUUACAAUAAUAUAAACCAUAUUUACGUCAAGUCAAAGUGCAGCCAAUAAUAUGGAGCUCAAUGGGUUACAAACUCAAUAAAGAUACAUAUAAAGAAAUUAAAAUUCUUUUGAAGGUGGACUUGAUAGUACAUAUUUAAAUUAUACUAAUAUUAAUAUGUACCUGAGACAUGCACACAUCGCCCGUCACUCUCAUCUCA